AUGUCAGAGUUCUGAGAAGGAGAGGAGUGCGUCGAUCGCAUGUUUUCCUUUAAUAUUGUGAUGAUUUGAAAGAAACAAUUGUGGUAGUAAACACGCACAUACAUGUAUGAUACGUUCUUGGAACUUAAUUACGUCAUAGCAUUUCACAUCAUAUAUAUAUUCUCUCCGGAUAGAACCGAAAACAUCAAAACACUUUGAAAUCACGAUUCAAUAAUGGACAGACCUACAUUUUUCUACCAUUCAACAUCAGCAGGAAAUGAAGCUAGGAUAAAAGAAGACAAUAUCCUGAAACCACAGGUACACAACCCAUCCUCAGAAUGGAUGUGGCUAGUAAAUCAACACCGUGAACUGGUACCUAAAGGGGUGUGGUUCUGUGCCACUCUUUAUAACGGAAAUUUGCCAACGAUUUCUCCGUAUGGUAAUAGACGAGUGAGGAUUCCUAUAGAUAGUGUCAUCCAGCAACUUGGAGGAAAUGUGAAACUCUAUGCAGGAGUAACUGAUCAAAACGUAGGAUUUAACACCUAUGUCAGGUUGAUGCUCGUAAAAACAGGAGACACUUUUGAAAUAUUAAAGUACAUGGUUCCCGUGGAUAUUGCCAACAAUCCGUGGUUAACACUGACUGGUGGAUACAGAGUUGCGUGUAGACCAACCUGGGUGGAAAUCUACAUCCCCUACCCAAUCGAUGUCAGUGACUGUCUCUGGGAUCAGUUGUAAUAAUGUCAAAUGCAGAGUAAAGAAAGGAAAGGAUUUGGUUGUAAAAUUUACGAGGCAAGGAUUUAUAUCUGACAAACACAAAUACAAAACUUUCGAUUGCCAAUAGAGAAAAGAAGAAUUGAACUUUUUAAACAACGGUCAAAUACAGGCUAGUCGUAUGCCAUCCUUAGCAAUUAUUGAUAAGUGUCUUGCCCAGAUACACAGCCACGACAGCAUAGACUGGGGACUGGUGCGUUUCUCUGCUUCCCGAGAACCACAAACCGACACGGAUAGGAAGCCUUGAGCCACGCACUUUGGAUCUUCAACUAAGAUUACGUGGCCGACACAUAUAAAUUUUAUGUUGUGUGGUGUGUGUGUUUGUGUGUUUGAGGGGGCUGAGGUUAAGGUUUUAAAGAAAAUGAAAAACUCGACAAUCAUAAUAGAGUUGUUUGUGGUGAAUUAAUUUGAACUGUUGCAUGGAUGACAUAGCCUAGUUACACCUAUGUCUUUAUGGUAUAUUAUGGCCUAGUCUUUGUUCAGUAGUAUGUUUUAUCAAUACUAAGUAUGUUUUAUGGUUUUAAUGUUUAGAUUAGAACUUCCAGAUACCCGCAAAAUAACGUCAUGUUUUAUCUGCCAAAAAGUGACAAUAUUGCUGAAGAACAUCGUGUCUUUAGCCAAAUCUAGAUACAGACAUAUAACUUAUCAAUAAGUCAAUAACUACCAGUUUGACGUGUAAUUAUCCUUAUUUCGCUAGACCAAUGAUACAAGAAGACAAGACUAUCUUGAUUUCCUGUGCAGUAUUUAUUUGAUUUGAUACUUCCAUCUGUGAUAUAACGUGAAAAUUUGUUUAUUUGUCGCUUUUAUUUCUAUUUUCUAUGAUUAUAUUUUUAUAUAUUUAUUCAAUAAAAAUGUAUGGGCUGCAUA